UCGUCUCACACUCACCACGUAAGAUGUUCUACUCCUAGCAUUUCUCGAGGGGUAAUCCGUCAGUCACAUCUUUAUACCAUCAGUGACGGUGUAUAUCUCUCGUUCUCUCUUGAUUGUAGCCAGCUGAAGCGAUGGCCACCGUCGGCGGCGCGGCAGCACUUCUGAGGAACAAGAUGUUCGUCUCCUGCGUGAUGCUCCUCGUGGUCCUGCUGAUGGCCACGCAGAUAGCGGCGGCGGGCGGCGGGGCACGCCGGCUCCUGUGGUGCGGCUACAGAAACUGCAACUGCCGCACUUGCCCCAUAUAUGGGUGGGCGUGUUGCCCGCCGUAGGGCGCGGGCGGCGGCACGCACGGCAAGAUCGCACCUUUGCUUCGAUCGCUCUGUUAAAGGUUUGAUGAAUAACGUGCAUGUACGAGGUUACAUGUGGUUGCUGCUGUUUCAAC
rnacentral:lncRNA from 1 species